CAUACAGUCUUCUCUCUGUCGAACAUUCCAACAUGAGUGACUCUGAGGGGAAACAUGGCGGUGAAACUGAAGCGGAGACCAGAGAAAAAGAGACUCUGAAGAGGCUCCUCUCUGAAGACGACCCUGAACCUGGACCCUCAAAACCCAAGCCUCUGAAGCGAAGAAAGAAGAAGAAGUCUCCUCCAUCUGAAUGUGCUGUUUGUCAAAGCGACCUGAAGGGGGCAGUGUCUCUCCGCUGUGGACACCGCAUCUGUGAGAUAUGCUUCAGUUUACUCCGAGAGAAGUCUGGGGAUGUGCCCUGUCCAAACUGUGGUCCUAAAGAGGCUUUAGCUGAAUACAAAGAAAGUCUAAAGACAAAGUGUGGAAGAGUGUGUGAAGGAAGUGACUCAGGG
rnacentral:lncRNA from 1 species